rnacentral:rRNA from 1 species
AGUGAACGCUGGCGGUAGGCCUAAUACAUGCAAGUCGAACGGCAGCACAGUAAGAUUGUGCUCUUGCUGUUGGCGAGUGGCGGAUGGGUGAGGAAUACAUCGGAAUCCUCUUUUUCGUGGGUGAUUACGUAGGGCAGCUUAUGCUACUACCGCAUAUUUUCUACGGCAUGAAUCAGAGGUGCUACAGGCCUUUCCCGUUUCUAUUAGCCGAUGUCGCAUUAGCUAGUUGGCGAGGUAAAGGCCCACCAAGGCGACGCUCCGUAGCUGAUCUGAGAGGAUGAUCAGCCACACUGGAACUGAGACACGGUCCAGACUCCUACGGGAGGCAGCAGUAGGGAAUAUUGGGCAAUGGGCGAAAGCCUGAUGCAGCAAUACCGCGUGGGUGAAGAAGGCCUUCGGAUUGUAAAGCCCUUUUAUUGGGGAAGAAAAGAAGUGGAUUAAUACGCGGAUGUUUUGACGGUACCCAAAGAGUAAGCACCGGCUAACUACGUG